rnacentral:misc_RNA from 1 species
GAGUUCGCGGGAGAGUAAGUUAUUGCCAGGGUUUUUAUUUUAUACUUUAAACCUUGAAUUUAUUUUUUAAAUGUUUAUAUUAUUUGAAUAAAACAUUCAAAUAAUAAAAAAAAUAAUAUAUAUAUUGACAUGGAGUAAACAAAGAUAUAUAUUAUUCUAUGUUGUAUUAACAAAUUGGCAAAAUAGAGAUGGAAGAUAAAAAUAUGGUCAAAGUAAUAAGAGUCUAUGGUGAAUGCC